ACGAUAACGGCGUCGAGCGGCGGACGGGUGAGUAAUGCCUAGGAAAUUGCCCUGAUGUGGGGGAUAACCAUUGGAAACGAUGGCUAAUACCGCAUGAUGCCUACGGGCCAAAGAGGGGGACCUUCGGGCCUCUCGCGUCAGGAUAUGCCUAGGUGGGAUUAGCUAGUUGGUGAGGUAAGGGCUCACCAAGGCGACGAUCCCUAGCUGGUCUGAGAGGAUGAUCAGCCACACUGGAACUGAGACACGGUCCAGACUCCUACGGGAGGCAGCAGUGGGGAAUAUUGCACAAUGGGCGCAAGCCUGAUGCAGCCAUGCCGCGUGUGUGAAGAAGGCCUUCGGGUUGUAAAGCACUUUCAGUCGUGAGGAAGGUGGUGUAGUUAAUAGCUGUAUUAUUUGACGUUAGCGACAGAAGAAGCACCGGCUAACUCCGUGCCAGCAGCCGCGGUAAUACGGAGGGUGCGAGCGUUAAUCGGAAUUACUGGGCGUAAAGCGCAUGCAGGUGGUUUGUUAAGUCAGAUGUGAAAGCCCGGGGCUCAACCUCGGGAAUAGCAUUUGAAACUGGCAGACUAGAGUACUGUAGAGGGGGGUAGAAUUUCAGGUGUAGCGGUGAAAUGCGUAGAGAUCUGAAGGAAUACCGGUGGCGAAGGCGGCCCCCUGGACAGAUACUGACACUCAGAUGCGAAAGCGUGGGGAGCAAACAGGAUUAGAUACCCUGGUAGUCCACGCCGUAAACGAUGUCUACUUGGAGGUUGUGGCCUUGAGCCGUGGCUUUCGGAGCUAACGCGUUAAGUAGACCGCCUGGGGAGUACGGUCGCAAGAUUAAAACUCAAAUGAAUUGACGGGGGCCCGCACAAGCGGUGGAGCAUGUGGUUUAAUUCGAUGCAACGCGAAGAACCUUACCUACUCUUGACAUCCAGAGAACUUUCCAGAGAUGGAUUGGUGCCUUCGGGAACUCUGAGACAGGUGCUGCAUGGCUGUCGUCAGCUCGUGUUGUGAAAUGUUGGGUUAAGUCCCGCAACGAGCGCAACCCUUAUCCUUGUUUGCCAGCGAGUAAUGUCGGGAACUCCAGGGAGACUGCCGGUGAUAAACCGGAGGAAGGUGGGGACGACGUCAAGUCAUCAUGGCCCUUACGAGUAGGGCUACACACGUGCUACAAUGGCGCAUACAGAGGGCGGCCAACUUGCGAAAGUGAGCGAAUCCCAAAAAGUGCGUCGUAGUCCGGAUUGGAGUCUGCAACUCGACUCCAUGAAGUCGGAAUCGCUAGUAAUCGUAGAUGCAGACAUUG
rnacentral:rRNA from 1 species